rnacentral:rRNA from 1 species
UACUCCUACGGGAGGCAGCAGUAGGGAAUCUUCCACAAUGGACGCAAGUCUGAUGGAGCAACGCCGCGUGAGUGAAGAAGGUCUUCGGAUCGUAAAACUCUGUUGUUAGAGAAGAACACGAGUGAGAGUAACUGUUCAUUCGAUGACGGUAUCUAACCAGCAAGUCACGGCUAACUACGUGCCAGCAGCCGCGGUAAU